rnacentral:rRNA from 1 species
AUAUCAAUAAGCGGAGGAAAAGAAACCAACAGGGAUUGCCCUAGUAACGGCGAGUGAAGCGGCAACAGCUCAAAUUUGAAAGCUGGCUCCGGCCCGCGUUGUAAUUUGCAGAGGAUGCUUCUGGCGAGGUGCCUUCCGAGUUCCCUGGAACGGGACGCCAUAGAGGGUGAGAGCCCCGUAUGGAUGGACACCAAACCUGUGUGAAGCUCCUUCAACGAGUCGAGUAGUUUGGGAAUGCUGCUCUAAAUGGGAGGUAAAUCUCUUCUAAAGCUAAAUACCGGCCAGAGACCGAUAGCGCACAAGUAGAGUGAUCGAAAGAUGAAAAGCACCUUGAAAAGGGGGUUAAACAGUAC